UAUACAUGUAAGCUGAAUCCGGUUUAUCCGGAACGGGGGAUAUAUCUAUUGGGGUGAAUCUAUUAAAAAGAGGGCUACUCUAUGGCCUAACCCGUCAACUAACCUCGUAAGCACAUAGAGGGGGAAA
rnacentral:sRNA from 1 species